AUUGAACGCUGGCGGCAUGCUUUACACAUGCAAGUCGAACGGUAGAGGGGCAACCCUUGAGAGUGGCGAACGGGUGAGUAAUGCAUCGGAACGUGCCCAGUAGUGGGGGAUAGCCCGGCGAAAGCCGGAUUAAUACCGCAUGAGACCUGAGGGUGAAAGCGGGGGAUCGCAAGACCUCGCGCUAUUGGAGCGGCCGAUGUCAGAUUAGCUAGUUGGUGGGGUAAAGUCCUCCCAAGGCGACGAUCUGUAGCUGGUCUGAGAGGACGACCAGCCACACUGGGACUGAGACACGGCCCAGACUCCUACGGGAGGCAGCAGUGGGGAAUUUUGGACAAUGGGCGCAAGCCUGAUCCAGCCAUGCCGCGUGCGGGAAGAAGGCCUUCGGGUUGUAAACCGCUUUUGUCAGGGAGGAAAUCUUCUGGGCUAAUACCCUGGGAGGAUGACGGUACCUGAAGAAUAAGCACCGGCUAACUACGUGCCAGCCGCCGCGGUAA
rnacentral:rRNA from 1 species